rnacentral:rRNA from 1 species
GACGAACGCUGGCGGCAUGCCUAACACAUGCAAGUCUAGGGGUAGCAAUACCACUGGCGCACGGGUGAGUAACACGUAGGUUAUCUGCCCCCAUCACAGACAUAACCCCGGGAAACCGGGGCUAAUAUCUGAUGAGGUCGCGAGAUCAAAGCUUCGGCGGAUGGGGAUGAGCCUGCGGCUGAUUAGCUAGUUGGUGAGGUAAUGGCUCACCAAGGCGACGAUCAGUAGCUGGUCUGAGAGGACAAACAGCCACACUGGAACUGAGACACGGUCCAGACUCCUACGGGAGGCAGCAGUGAGGAAUAUUGGUCAAUGGGAGCAAUCCUGAACCAGCAAUGCCGCGUGUGGGAUGACAGGGCUUCGCCUUGUAAACCACUGUCGGACGGGACGAAAGGAGGCCUCGGGCCUCUGGGACGGUACCGUCAAAGGAAGGGUCGGCUAACUACGUGCCAGCAGCCGCGGUAAU